AACGAACGCUGGCGGCAGGCUUAACACAUGCAAGUCGAACGCCCCGCAAGGGGAGUGGCAGACGGGUGAGUAACGCGUGGGAACGUGCCCUUCGCUUCGGAAUAGCCCCGGGAAACUGGGAGUAAUACCGGAUACGCCGUAUUGGGAAAGAUUUAUCGGCGAAGGAUCGGCCCGCGUUAGAUUAGCUAGUUGGCGGUGUAAUGGACCACCAAGGCUACGAUCUAUAGCUGGUCUGAGAGGAUGAUCAGCCACACUGGGACUGAGACACGGCCCAGACUCCUACGGGAGGCAGCAGUGGGGAAUCUUGGACAAUGGGCGCAAGCCUGAUCCAGCCAUGCCGCGUGAGUGAAGAAGGCCUUAGGGUUGUAAAGCUCUUUUGUGCGGGAAGAUAAUGACGGUACCGCAAGAAUAAGCCCCGGCUAACUUCGUGCCAGCAGCCGCGGUAAU
rnacentral:rRNA from 1 species